UACGGAGGGUGCAAGCGUUAUCCGGAUUCACUGGGUUUAAAGGGUGCGUAGGCGGUCGGGUAAGUCUGACGUGAAAUCUCCGGGCCUAACCCGGAAACUGCGUUGGAAACUGCCUGGCUAGAGGAAUGGAGGGGAGACUGGAAUACUUGGUGUAGCAGUGAAAUGCGUAGAUAUCAAGUGGAACACCAGUGGCGAAGGCGAGUCUCUGGACAUUUCCUGACGCUGAGGCACGAAAGCCAGGGGAGCAAACGGG
rnacentral:rRNA from 1 species